AAAAAUGAGGAGAAGAGCAGAAAGGAAAAACAGUAGGGACCAUAUCUUCUGUCCCCCUGAAUGACGAGAUUAAAAGGGAAAAUUAUCUGCAGGAAUCUCCUGUCAUGUUCUGGUGAAUAAGGACUCAUUUGAGGUCUCUUGGCAUCCCAGAUUGGAGCCUAAGCAAUUUGCAGAGCCAAAGCCUGGACGUUCAGCUGUGCAGAGUGUAAAAUCGUGGACAUGCAUGCCACAGGAUGCUGAGGAAAUUUAGGAAACCACCUUCUGCCUCAGUGCUGCUGUGAACAGAAGCUGUUUUAUUCCUCUGCAGUAG